GUUUGGAGUAGAGAAGUUUAAUCAAGAAGGGCUUGCUGCAGACGGGUCCUUGGAUCAGAUUAUCGCGUGCAGCACAGCUGAGGUGGAGGUAGCCGGUAACUUUCAGGUCAGUCUUGUGCCUUUGUCAGCUCAACCACAAUUCUCAGGAUGUUCACUUGAGGUUACGUCUGAGCUUCCUUUUCAGUUGAGGGACCCUCAAAUAGAGACGGACCAGCAUCCUCUGUCUCACCGUAGUGAGUCUUUGAUCCACACUCCCCUUGAACACUACUUAUAUAUCUAAUAAUGGAG
rnacentral:lncRNA from 1 species